GCCCGGGGACGAGAGGGGCCGUGACCGCCUGGCCUGGGAGGAAAGAGCUGGAUCUUGCUGCGGGCGACAGCAGGUGCUGCGCUCCGACCCCACCUGCUGUCCCCGCACUGUGCCUCGGCCGGCUGGGGUUCCUGGGGAUGGGAUUUGAUGCCAGUCACAAAUCACAUUGCCAGGGAUUUCCAACUGACCCUGUGCUCUGCCUUGGGGGCUCCUGUUGCCAAGGGAUGCCUGUCCUGGGUACUGGGUGACAGAGAAGCCCAUCGUGACAACUGGCCUGAGGAGCAGGGCUUAGCUGCUUGUGAGCAAGGUCCACAGCAAGUCGUGUUCACAGUGGCUAAGUUCCGCCCCCUGGACCCCAUCUCUCAGGCCGCUGCUGCCCACCCUGCUCUGCUUCCUGGCCAGCAUGGCUGUGCCUCUCCCUGGGCUCCGCCUCCUGUGCCUACUGAGCUGAAACAGUUGAUUCCAGUGCACUGGCUCAGUUCAGCAGGAACAGGAGUCCAGCCCCCUAGGAGCUGGCACCCCUGCACAAUGGCUGCCAUGACCGGAGACCUGGAUGGAGUGGGGGUCGGAAGCAAUGCGUGACCAGUCCUGCCUAGGUCCAGCUAUCUGCUGUUGGCCCUUCCUCUAAGCCCACAUCCAGGAAUCCCACCCCACGUGGCCACACCUUGAGAUUUUUGUGGUUCCCAAAAAGAACAGAUAAUGAGUGGGCGAUCCUUGCAUUAAAAGGCAUAGCAGUUGUGUCCCCGCAGGGCCUGGAGGCCCUUCCUCUCCUCAGCCUGGUGGGGCCCAGGCACCACCCCUUACAGACACCUUCCUUGUAGUCAGUUACCCAAGAGGAAGCUGUUUUAGGCCUUCUGACCGUUAAAUGCCAACUCCCGGCUUCCGCAGCAAUCCAGGGUGCCUAACACUCCCAUGGGGCCCACAGCUUUCUCCUGGUAACAGUGGGGCAGACAGCAAGCUCUACACAGGUCCUCAAAGGAUAAGAACAGAUCCCAGCCCCCUCCCCGCGUUGUGCCUUUCGGAGUAGUCUCCAAGAGUUAAAACGUUGCCUGCUCCCCUCCAAUCAGAGUAGAUGCAGACUAGUUGGCAUGGGGCUAAGUCACACUCCCCAGACCCUCCGUGUCACCUCCCCACCCUGGCAGGGGCAAAUCAAAGCUUGGGGGAGGAACAGUCAGAGCUCGCAUUGAAUGUUGUGCCUGAUUUCCAAUGAAAUAAAAACUGCCGGCUUCAUCCCUUAAA